rnacentral:rRNA from 1 species
UACAGAGGUCUCGAGCGUUGUUCGGAUUCAUUGGGCGUAAAGGGUGCGUAGGUGGCGCUGUAAGUCGGGUGUGAAAUCCUGGGGCUUAACCCCGGAACUGCAUUCGAUACUGCAGUGCUUGAGGACUGGAGAGGAGAAUGGAAUUCCCGGUGUAGCGGUGAAAUGCGCAGAUAUCGGGAGGAACACCGGUGGCGAAGGCGGUUCUCUGGGCCUUACCUGACGCUGAGGAGCGAAAGCGUGGGGAGCGAACAGG